AUGAACGCUGCCAGAAUGCUUAACCCAUGCCAGUCGCUGGGGAAGUGGUGCUUGCACCAUGGUAACCAUGGCGGACGGGUGAGUAACACGUAAGGAACUUACCUGCGGGACCGGGAUAACAGCAGGAAACUGCUGACAAGACCGGAUAAGGUCAUUAAGCUGCAUAGCUUAGUGAUGAAAGGAGACGCCUGCGGAGAGCCUUGCGUCCUAUUAGCUAGUUGGAGGGGUAACGGCCCACCAAGGCGAAGAUAGGUAGCCGGCCUGAGAGGGUGGACGGCCACAAGGGGACUGAGAUACGGCCCUUACUCCUACGGGAGGCAGCAGUGGGGAAUAUUGGACAAUGGGGGCAACCCUGAUCCAGCAAUUCUGUGUGCACGAAGACGGUUUUCGGAUUGUAAAGUGCUUUCAGCAGGGAAGAAGGAAGUGACGGUACCUGCAGAAGAAGCGACGGCUAAAUACGUG
rnacentral:rRNA from 1 species